rnacentral:rRNA from 1 species
UACGAAGGGGGCUAGCGUUGUUCGGAUUUACUGGGCGUAAAGCGCACGUAGGCGGAUCUUUAAGUCAGAGGUGGAAUCCCAAGGCUCAACCUUGGAACUGCCUUUGAUACUGGAGAUCUUGAGUCCGGGAGAGGUGAGUGGAACUGCGAGUGUAGAGGUGAAAUUCGUAGAUAUUCGCAAGAACACCAGUGGCGAAGGCGGCUCACUGGCCCGGUACUGACGCUGAGGUGCGAAAGCGUGGGGAGCAAACAGG